rnacentral:rRNA from 1 species
UACGUAGGGUGCGAGCGUUUGUCCGGAAUUAUUGGGCGUAAAGGGCUCGUAGGCGGUUUGUCGCGUCGGGAGUGAAAUCCACUGGCUUAACUGGUGGCUUGCUUUCGAUACGGGCAGACUGGAGGUAUGCAGGGGAGAACGGAAUUCCUGGUGUAGCGGUGAAAAUGCGCAGAUAUCAGGAGGAACACCGGUGGCGAAGGCGGUUCUCUGGGCAUGUCCUGACGCUGAGGAGCGAAAGUGUGGGGAGCGAACAGG